GGACUACCCGGGUAUCUAAUCCUGUUUGCUCCCCUUGCUUUCGCGCCUCAGCGUCAGGUAUAAGCUAGAAAACCGCUUUCGCCACCGGUGUUCUUCCACAUAUCUACGCAUUUCACCGCUACUUGUGGAAUUCCGUUUUCUCCGCCUAUCCUCUAGAAACAUAGUUUCAAAUGCAGUUCCGGGGUUAAGCCCCGGGAUUUCACAUCUGACUUAUCUUCCCGCCUACGCGCCCUUUACGCCCAAUAAAUCCGAUUAAUGCUUGCACCCUCCGUAUUACCGCGGCGGCUGGCAC
rnacentral:rRNA from 1 species